GAUUAACGCUGGCGGCAUGCCUAAUACAUGCAAGUCGAACGGAAGCAGCAAUGCUUUAGUGGCGAACGGGUGAGUAACACGUAGGGAACCUACCUAUACGACGAGGAUAACUACUGGAAACGGUAGCUAAAACUGGAUAGGAUCAAUUGAGGCAUCUUGAUUGAUUUAAAGAUCCUUCGGGAUUACGUAGAGAUGGCCCUGCGGCGCAUUAGCUAGUUGGUGAGGUAACGGCCACCAAGGCGACGAUGCGUAGCUGAGCUGAGAGGCUAAACAGCCACACUGGGACUGAGACACGGUUCCCAGACUCCUACGGGAGGCAGCAGUAGGGAAUUUUCGGCAAUGGGGGAAACCCUGACCGAGCAAUGCCGCGUGAACGAUGAAGGUCUUCGGAUUGUAAAGUUCUGUGAUUGGGGAAGAAUGGUAUUCUUAGGGAAUGAGGAGUACAUGACGGUACCCGAUUAGAAAGCCCCGGCUAACUAUGUGCCAGCAG
rnacentral:rRNA from 1 species